UCCAAAAUCAGUUUUUCUCUUCCUCCUCCAGUCUCGAUCACUCCAUCUUCUCUCUAGAUUCUGAUCUCGAUCUCCUUCUUGAUACGUCUUCAUCCUGUUUUGGAUUUCCAGUUUUUGUAUAAGAUCCAUAGAUCUUCGAUCUAGUUAUGGUUCGAUUGAUGUUCGUUUGAUUCGAGAGCGUUCGAUUUCGUCGUAUGAUGCCUCCGAGGUUGUUCCAUGAGGGUCGACUCAGUCUUGUCCUAGCUCACCAGAGUUUGAUUCUGGUGUGGAUGAUUUAGCUUCUCCGAAGAAGUAUAUUGUGUGGAGCACACACAUGAACACACACGUCUUGCCUGAGUUUCUUGUCUGCAUCAAAACUCCAUUUAACUUCAACCGAAGUCCAAGGAGAUUGAGAUCGCCAUGGAUGCCAUUUCCUUUACUGAUCAAAGCUUUAUCGAAGUUCUUACCUCCUUCUCAGAUAUUCAUUAUUCAAAAACACUAUAGAGUUCAGCAAUGGAUCCCGGAGUUGAAAUUACGCGCCUGGUGUCCCCAUCAUCCUUGUUGGAUCAAAGCUUGAUCUUCGACAUGAAAAAACCAUGAUGUUUAAAAUGCUGAAUGUGAAAGCUGUAUUUGACGCAGCCAUACGAGUGGUGUUGCUACCGCCUUAGCAAAAGAAGAAGAAGAGCAAAGGGCAGAAGGCAAGCUCCAUCCUAUGAUGAAUAAUGAUGAUUGGAAAGCUCUGUUUUAUAUAUAUUAAAGAUCUUCUAACAAUGCAUCAAUGUGUUUAUGUCCCAUGUUGGUUUUGGUUUUCUCACCUGUUCCAAAACUACAUUUUAAAGAUCGAUGCUUUGGAUGAUCCCUUGAUCUCCUUUUGUCUCUGCUUGUUACAUAUCAAAGUCUUGUCUUUUAUUGUCAUUCUGUUGUUGAUUCUUUCAUGAUUCACCCUUUUAGGUGAUCCGAAAAAGACCCAACACUUGGUUCCUUGGAAGGUGCAAAGGAAAGACUUCACUUGUUCAAAGCAGACCUUCUGGAAGAAGGAUCAUUCGACUCUGCUAUUGAUGGAUGCGAAGGUGUUUUCCACACUGCUUCCCCAUUUUGUUAUGAUGUCAAAGACCCCCAGAUUUUGCUCUUUAUCCCCUCAAGUAGUUGUUUUCAUUUCUUUGUGGAUUGUGAAUGAUCUUUAUAACUUUCUUUGAUCCUGCUGUUAAGGGAACACUCAACGUUUUGAACUCGUCUACCAAUUUUUAUUUAUGCUUUUCUUUCCUGUUUGUUUAAAAUUUAUAAUUAUAAAUUUGUAUUUCUAUUUUUAAUAUGUUUUAUGUCAUAUUUGUUUAAAUUAUAUGAAAUCUAAUAAUUUAUAAGUUUUGUAAAAUUUAAAUUUAAUAAUUCACCUUCUAAAAAAAAUAUAUUUAAGAACCUCGAAGGAGUUCUCUCCCAUUAGACCUUUACAUAACUAAUUAUAUUAACAAGGGUUCUUAACUUCAUAAAGUACACACUUAAUAAUCUAUAUAUAUAUACUAUAUUAAAAGGGAUAUAUGAGCUCUAUUGAGCCUAUCCACGUAGGAUCAGAAAUUCAAGCCAAUCAGAUUGUCUUAAGAUGCCAUGUCAGCUUAGUAAAAAAAAAAUCUAACUUUACGUGGCGAUUCCUUCUUCUUCUUCGACGCAUUUCCAAUGUCUCGCCAGAUCUGGGUUUCUCUCGCCAACCCUUCGGCUACGGUUCUCCCAAAAGCCUCCCCGUAACGCCUAAUUUAUGGUUACCUUACUCUCAUCUCCACUUCAAUACAUUCUCAGUUUAAGUCUCUGUUCCAAUUCUCUUUUUGAAGGCGGUUCGAUUUCUCACCAAACUGAAGCUAAAAAAAAAAGGGGAUUUCCCAAUUAUACAUUUCUGACUUGGAGACUGGUCGUUUUGAGGACGUGGUGGUGACACGUCUUCUUCAAUUAUGGGAGUGGGUACUCUGAAGAAAGGAGACGAGCUUAUUGGUGGUGAACAUGGUAUUGCUUGACAAGAAGUCGAUGUUGAUACAAGGUACCAUCACCGCACAUCGGCUCUACAGUUUUAAAAAUCUACUGAGUGAAGGCGCUGUCUACGAGCUUAGUGUGUUCUAUAUUGCUAGAAGCAAUAAUCACUUCAAACUGUGGGCCUCUCCUGUCUGUAUUCGAUUUACCGAGCAUACCAGCUUUGUCGAGGUUGUACUACCUCAGUUUCGGGUGUAUAUUACAAUUAUGUACAUUUCAGAUAUUUUUGGUCAGGAUAGGAGUAUACACACCAUCUACAAUGACGAAAACGAGUCGAUACAGCGUGUUAUGGUCACGAUCCAGCUGGACAGGUCAACCACUGUGUGUCAGUGUGUUUGAUAAGGUUGCGUGACAAGUUAGUACUCUUGGAUGUGGAGACAAAAGGUCGCUUAGUCCUAAACGUCACAUUAGGGACACAGUUCUACUUUUAUCAUGAAAGCCAAGCCACUCAGUGUUUCUUAAAAGAGUCUGUUAUUUCUUCCUACAAUUACUUACUACUUCACGAUUAUUACGACGUUAGUUCCCACAUUAAACAUACCAGAUGCAGGCUCUGCAGAGCAGAGAGUGGUUCCUCUGGUAUAUCUUCCAAAAUAUGGUGGUGUUAAGAAACUUGAAUCUGUCAGACUCUCUGAACUUAAUAUCUACGUUCUGAAUUCACCCCUACAGGUACGUUCACUGAAUAAGGAUCACUGUUAUUAUUGCAUUUAGCUCAGUUCUCAUGUGUACUGUCACAACAUGACCAAUUUACAUGUGUUGUUAUUUUUUUUGUUGUCUCUCCUUUUUCAUACUGCGCACAAUUAACCAAUCAAAACGUCUCUUACUUGAAAAUAAGAGACUUUUUUGCUGCUUGCUUUCUGCGUUUGCUCAUUUAUCUAGGCUUCACAUUUGAAAAAAAUAUUGUCAGCAACUGUGGAGUUUCUAAUAUAGCACCACACAAGCGAUGAUAUGUCUAUAGCUGUUAAACUUUCUAUGGUCCCAAAUCCAGUGGUGAAAAGCAGUUGUUCGUAUCACACAAUCGGGCCAGAUGAUGUUCCAAUUAUUGAAGGAUGUCCAGCCAGCACUGACCCAGAGCCUGCACAUACUGAUUCAGUCCUGACCUCCACCGAGACUCCCAUUGAUGAUGAAAAGGCCCCCGGUUCAAAGUAAGCUCGAAAUACUGAUCACUCCAACUAUGGAGACUUGGAAUUUGCAAAAUUCAAUUCCAUUGUUUGUUUCAAAAUUUUAUGUUUUUCUUCAAUAAUACUGUAAUCCACAUACUUUUACUCAGCACCAAAGUGUUUUUAUUUACUUAUC